GGAUGUGAGAGAGAUCUGGCUGCAGCAUGUGUUACUCCACUGGAGGUCAGGACUGAUUCAGCUGAUCUGGCUGCUUAGGCAAGUGUCUCCUGCCUCCUCCACUUCUCCAUGUAUGUCCCUCCCAAAGCUGUGCACUCACUAAAAGAGCAAGACCUCCCUUUAUGAUAGAGUACUGCUCUUUGAUCAAGAGUAUACUCAGAGGUGUGCUACCCUGCUAUAAUCUCAGAACAGGCUCUCAAAGGCACAAUUAUUUAAUACGUACAGGCUGAGGCGUGAUGGCAAGAAGACAUUGUGGGUCUGUGUUUUCUU
rnacentral:snRNA from 1 species